rnacentral:rRNA from 1 species
GUCUACGGCCAUACCACCCUGAACAUGCCCGAUCUCGUCUGAUCUCAGAAGCUAAGAGUUUUGGUCCAUACUCCCAGAGGGGGAGAAA